CAAUAGCGUAUAUUAAAGUUGUUGCAGUUAAAAAGCUCGUAGUUGGAUUUGUGGCGUACGGUGUGUUCCGGGCACUUGUUGUCUGAGUAACCUGCUGUUGCCAUCCUUGGGUGGAACCUGUGUGGCAUUAGGUUGUCGUGCAGGGGAUGCCCAUCAUUUACUGUGAAAAAAUUAGAGUGUUCAAAGCAGGCUUAUGCCGUUGAAUAUAUUAGCAAGGAAUAAUGAGAUAGGACUUUUUUGCUAUUUUGUUGGUUUGCGCAAAGAGGUAAUGAUUAAUAGGGACAGUUGGGGAUAUUCGUAUUCCAUUGUCAGAGGUGAAAUUCUUGGAUUUUUGGAAGACGAACUACUGCGAAAGCAUUUACCAAGGAUGUUUUCAUUAA
rnacentral:rRNA from 1 species